AUUGAACGCUGGCGGCAUGCCUUACACAUGCAAGUCGAACGGCAGCACGGGUGCUUGCACCUGGUGGCGAGUGGCGAACGGGUGAGUAAUACAUCGGAACGUACCUUAUCGUGGGGGAUAACGCAGCGAAAGCUGUGCUAAUACCGCAUACGCCCUGAGGGGGAAAGCGGGGGAUCGCAAGACCUCGCGCGAUUGGAGCGGCCGAUAUCAGAUUAGGUAGUUGGUGGGGUAAAGGCUCACCAAGCCAACGAUCUGUAGCUGGUCUGAGAGGACGACCAGCCACACUGGGACUGAGACACGGCCCAGACUCCUACGGGAGGCAGCAGUGGGGAAUAUUGCACAAUGGGCGCAAGCCUGAUGCAGCAACGCCGCGUGAGGGAU
rnacentral:rRNA from 1 species